rnacentral:rRNA from 1 species
CAUAUCACCCAGCAGCCCAAGACUGGUUGCCCACUGAAGCUAAGUAGGGUUGAGCCUGGUCAGUACCUGGAUGGGAGACCUCCUGGGAAAAACUUNNN